GUACUUUGACAGAACAUGUAUUACAAUUGCAAUGACAUAGAGAAGAUUAGAAUGACAUCCACACAAGAAUGAUAUGCAUGUUCAUGUAAUGUUCCAUACCUUU